rnacentral:rRNA from 1 species
CAGUAGCCGCGGUAAUACAGAGGGUGCGAGCGUUAAUCGGAUUUACUGGGCGUAAAGCGUGCGUAGGCGGCUUCUUAAGUCGGAUGUGAAAUCCCUGAGCUUAACUUAGGAAUUGCAUUCGAUACUGGGAAGCUAGAGUAUGGGAGAGGAUGGUAGAAUUCCAGGUGUAGCGGUGAAAUGCGUAGAGAUCUGGAGGAAUACCGAUGGCGAAGGCAGCCAUCUGGCCUAAUACUGACGCUGAGGUACGAAAGCAUGGGGAGCAAACAGGAUUAGAGACCCCGUAGUCCCUGUCUCUUAUACA